AUGGGAUACUUUGACACAAGGCAUUAUCAAAUGAAUCGAGGGACAGACCCAAGGAUAAUUGGCUGUCUAGAGAAGGGGCACUCAGACCCAACAACUUCCUUAGAGAGUGACCCUCCCUCAAGGUUAUGCAGUAGUAGUAGCGCAGGGGUGGCAGUAGCGCAGGGGUGUAAGACCUGCACUACUACUAAGUGGUCCCUAAAUGGGCCACCUCUACUUUUGAGCAACACAAUCCUUUCCAUCUUCGCCUCAUCGUUGACCCUAGUCACAGACGAUCUCCUCAUUGUCGUUGGCACAAUCAAAAUCAUUUGGUUGCAUGUUCAUUACCUGGCAGGCGGAGGAUACCACUGGAAACUCUGA
rnacentral:rRNA from 1 species